GGAUAAAUGUGACAGGUUCGUUGGAACAGCGGAGGGAUCAUUACCGAAGUUGCAAAACUUCCCAAACCCACUGUGAACCUAUACCUUCUGUUGCGUUCGGCGGAAUACGCCCCGGGCGCACCCCCUCAGGGGGUUGUGCCCCGGAACCAGGCGCCCGCCGGGGGACCGAAACCUCUGUAUUUUACCAUUUGAGUACUCUGAGUGUGAUUUACAAAAUCAAAAUUAAAACUUUCAACAACGGAUCUCUUGGCUCUAGCAUCGAUGAAAGAACGCAGCGAAAUGCGAUAAGUAAUGCGAAUUGCAGAAUUCAGUGAAUCAUCGAAUCUUUGAACGCACAUUGCGCCCGCCAGUAUUCUGGCGGGCAUGCCUGUCUGAGCGUCGUUUCGACCCUCGCGCCCGGCGUCUGUCGGGGGCGGUGUUGGGGAUCGGCCACACCCACUCCGGUGGGAGGCCGGCCCCUAAAUCCAGUGGCGACCACGCUGUAGCCUCCCCUGCGUAGUACUAAAACCACCUCGCAGGCGGAGAGCGGUGCGGCCCGCCGUAAAACCCCCAACUUUUACAAGGUCGACCUCAGAUCAGGUAGGAAUACCCGCUGAACUUAAGCAUAUCAAUAAGCGGAGGAAAAGAAACCAACAGGGAUUGCCUCAGUAACGGCGAGUGAAGCGGCAACAGCUCAAAUUUGAAAUCUGGCCCCAGGCCCGAGUUGUAAUUUGCAGAGGAUGUUUCUGGCGAGGUGCCUUCCGAGUUCCCUGGAACGGGACGCCAUAGAGGGUGAGAGCCCCGUACGGUUGGUCGCUAAGCCUCUGUGAAACUCCUUCGACGAGUCGAGUAGUUUGGGAAUGCUGCUCUAAAUGGGAGGUGUACGCCUUCUCAAGCUAAAUACCGGCUAGAGACCGAUAGCGCACAAGUAGAGUGAUCGAAAGAUGAAAAAGCACUUUGAAAAAGAGGGUUAAAUAGUACGUGGAAAUUGUUGAAAGGGAAGCGCUCUUGACCAGACUUGCGCCGGUUGAAUCAUCCACCGUUCUCGGUGGUGCACUUCUGCCGGCUCAGGCCAGCAUCAGUUCGGUCCGGGGGAUAAAGGCUUCGGGAACGUGGCUUCUCUCCGGGGAGUGUUAUAGCCCGUUGCGUAAUACCCUGGGCUGGACUGAAGGUUCCGCGCAUCUGCAUGAUGCGSGAUAAGGUUUAGGACCGUUUUUUAAAA
rnacentral:rRNA from 1 species